rnacentral:rRNA from 1 species
AACGAACGCUGGCGGCAUGCCUAACACAUGCAAGUCGAACGAUUGCCUUCGGGUGAUAGUGGCGCACGGGUGCGUAACGCGUGGGAAUCUGCCCUUAGGUUCGGAAUAACAGCUGGAAACGGCUGCUAAUACCGGAUGAUAUCGCGAGAUCAAAGAUUUAUCGCCUGAGGAUGAGCCCGCGUUGGAUUAGGUAGUUGGUGGGGUAAAGGCCUACCAAGUCGACGAUCCAUAGCUGGUCUGAGAGGAUGAUCAGCCACACUGGGACUGAGACACGGCCCAGACUCCUACGGGAGGCAGCAGUGGGGAAUAUUGGACAAUGGGCGCAAGCCUGAUCCAGCAAUGCCGCGUGAGUGAUGAAGGCCCUAGGGUUGUAAAGCUCUUUUACCCGGGAAGAUAAUGACUGUACCGGGAGAAUAAGCCCCGGCUAACUCCGUG